rnacentral:rRNA from 1 species
UACGUAGGGGGCAAGCGUUGUCCGGAAUCAUUGGGCGUAAAGAGCGUGUAGGCGGCCCGAUAAGUCCGCUGUGAAAGUCCAGGGCUCAACCCUGGAAUGCCGGUGGAUACUGUCGGGCUCGAAUCCGGAAGAGGUGAGUGGAAUUCCUGGUGUAGCGGUGAGAUGCGCAGAUAUCAGGAGGAACACCAAUGGCGAAGGCAGCUCACUGGGACGGUAUUGACGCUGAGACGCGAAAGCGUGGGGAGCAAACAGG